rnacentral:rRNA from 1 species
AGAGUUUGAUCAUGGCUCAGAUUGAACGCUGGCGGCAGGCCUAACACAUGCAAGUCGAACGGUAACAGGAAGCAGCUUGCUGCUUUCGCUGACGAGUGGCGGACGGGUGAGUAAUGUCUGGGAAACUGCCUGAUGGAGGGGGAUAACUACUGGAAACGGUAGCUAAUACCGCAUAACGUCGCAAGACCAAAGAGGGGGACCUUCGGGCCUCUUGCCAUCGGAUGUGCCCAGAUGGGAUUAGCUUGUUGGUGGGGUAACGGCUCACCAAGGCGACGAUCCCUAGCUGGUCUGAGAGGAUGACCAGCCACACUGGAACUGAGACACGGUCCAGACUCCUACGGGAGGCAGCAGUGGGGAAUAUUGCACAAUGGGCGCAAGCCUGAUGCAGCCAUGCCGCGUGUAUGAAGAAGGCCUUCGGGUUGUAAAGUACUUUCAGCGGGGAGGAAGGGAGUAAAGUUAAUACCUUUGCUCAUUGACGUUACCCGCAGAAGAAGCACCGGCUAACUCCGUGCCAGCAGCCGCGGUAAUACGGAGGGUGCAAGCGUUAAUCGGAAUUACUGGGCGUAAAGCGCACGCAGGCGGUUUGUUAAGUCAGAUGUGAAAUCCCCGGGCUCAACCUGGGAACUGCAUCUGAUACUGGCAAGCUUGAGUCUCGUAGAGGGGGGUAGAAUUCCAGGUGUAGCGGUGAAAUGCGUAGAGAUCUGGAGGAAUACCGGUGGCGAAGGCGGCCCCCUGGACGAAGACUGACGCUCAGGUGCGAAAGCGUGGGGAGCAAACAGGAUUAGAUACCCUGGUAGUCCACGCCGUAAACGAUGUCGACUUGGAGGUUGUGCCCUUGAGGCGUGGCUUCCGGAGCUAACGCGUUAAGUCGACCGCCUGGGGAGUACGGCCGCAAGGUUAAAACUCAAAUGAAUUGACGGGGGCCCGCACAAGCGGUGGAGCAUGUGGUUUAAUUCGAUGCAACGCGAAGAACCUUACCUGGUCUUGACAUCCACGGAAGUUUUCAGAGAUGAGAAUGUGCCUUCGGGAACCGUGAGACAGGUGCUGCAUGGCUGUCGUCAGCUCGUGUUGUGAAAUGUUGGGUUAAGUCCCGCAACGAGCGCAACCCUUAUCCUUUGUUGCCAGCGGUCCGGCCGGGAACUCAAAGGAGACUGCCAGUGAUAAACUGGAGGAAGGUGGGGAUGACGUCAAGUCAUCAUGGCCCUUACGACCAGGGCUACACACGUGCUACAAUGGCGCAUACAAAGAGAAGCGACCUCGCGAGAGCAAGCGGACCUCAUAAAGUGCGUCGUAGUCCGGAUUGGAGUCUGCAACUCGACUCCAUGAAGUCGGAAUCGCUAGUAAUCGUGGAUCAGAAUGCCACGGUGAAUACGUUCCCGGGCCUUGUACACACCGCCCGUCACACCAUGGGAGUGGGUUGCAAAAGAAGUAGGUAGCUUAACCUUCGGGAGGGCGCUUACCACUUUGUGAUUCAUGACUGGGGUGAAGUCGUAACAAGGUAACCGUAGGGGAACCUGCGGUUGGAUCACCU